rnacentral:misc_RNA from 1 species
UUAUUAUGUUAUAAUAAGACUACAUUUGUUACAUUAUUGUUUAGUGUAAGUGGAUGACUGUCGACAUAUGUCUCGAGACAUCCAACAAGUGCACAGGUGUUAUGGAUAUGAUAGAAAGCCCGUGAGCAAGCUCGACAGGCAUCUGUAUUCAUUAAUGAUCCUUCCGCAGGUUCACCUACGGAAA